GCUAAGCCAGUGCGUGCAGCGGGGGGAAUACGGAGGGUGAUAACGGUGAUCGGAAAGACUGGGCGUAAAGCGUACGUAGGGGGUUGUGUAAGGCAGGGGUGAAAUCCCCGGGCUCAACCCGGGAACUGCCCUUGAAACUGGGAGGCUAGAGUCUUGGAGAGGGGAGUAGAAUUCCGGGUGUAGAGGUGAAAUUCGUAGAGAUUAGGAGGAAUACCAGUGGCGAAGGCGACCUACUGGACUAUAACUGACACUGAGGUACGAAAGCGUGGGUAGCAAACAGGAUUAGAUACCCUUGUAGUC
rnacentral:rRNA from 1 species